UUAUUUUAUUUUUUAUUUCUUUAGCGCUGACAUCUGGUACUACUACAAUUGCAUCGUCAUCUGGUACUACUACAACUGCAUCGUCAUCUGGUACUACUACAGUUGCAUUGUCUGGCACUGCUGCAACCGAUCUAAAUUGGAGCAGCUACAGGCUUUAUCGCUCCCAGCACCCAGGACCUCUUUCUGAGAGGUCCUUUAACAAA
rnacentral:lncRNA from 1 species